rnacentral:rRNA from 1 species
UACGUAGGGUGCAAACGUUAUCCGGAUUUAUUGGGCGUAAAGAGCUCGUAGGUGGUUUUUUAAGUUGAAUAUUAAAUAUCCCGGCUCAACUGGGAAGAUGUAUUCAAUACUGAAUUACUUGAGGUAUGUAGGGGAGGAUGGAACUUACAGUGUAGCAGUGAAAUGCGUAGAUAUUGUAAGGAACGCCAAUGGUGAAGACAGUCCUCUGGACAUUACCUGACACUGAGGAGCGAAAGCGUGGGUAG